rnacentral:rRNA from 1 species
ACAUGCCUACAACUUAUCGUUAAUGCAACAGAUCCCAUUAGAACUCUAUAAUUAAGUGUGCUCGGGCUAGUGUAUUACUAGGAUAAGUGAUCACAUGAGAAGUUAUAGUAUUUUACAUUUC